AUACGUAGGUGGCAAGCGUUAUCCGGAUUUACUGGGUGUAAAGGGCGCGUAGGCGGGGGUGCAAGUCAGAUGUGAAAUCUAUGGGCUUAACUCAUAAACUGCAUUUGAAACUGUAUCUCUUGAGUGCUGGAGAGGUAGACGGAAUUCCUUGUGUAGCGGUGAAAUGCGUAGAUAUAAGGAAGAACACCAGUGGCGAAGGCGGUCUACUGGACAGUAACUGACGCUGAGGCGCGAAAGCGUGGGGAGCAAACAGGAUUAGAUACCCUGGUAGUCCACGCUGUAAACGAUGAAUACUAGGUGUGGGGGGACUGACCCCCUCCGUGCCGCAGUUAACACAAUAAGUAUUCCGCCUGGGGAGUACGGCCGCAAGGUUGAAACUCAAAUGAAUUGACGGGG
rnacentral:rRNA from 1 species